CCUACGGGCGGCAGCAGUGGGGAAUAUUGGACAAUGGGCGAAAGCCUGAUCCAGCCAUGCCGCGUGUGUGAAGAAGGCCUUCGGGUUGUAAAGCACUUUCAGUGGGGAAGAAAGCCUUGGGGCUAAUACCCUCGAGGAAGGACAUCACCCACAGAAGAAGCACCGGCUAACUCCGUGCCAGCAGCCGCGGUAAUACGGAGGGUGCGAGCGUUAAUCGGAAUUACUGGGCGUAAAGCGCGCGUAGGUGGUCUGAUAAGCCGGUUGUGAAAGCCCCGGGCUCAACCUGGGAACGGCAUCCGGAACUGUCAGGCUAGAGUGCAGGAGAGGAAGGUAGAAUUCCCGGUGUAGCGGUGAAAUGCGUAGAGAUCGGGAGGAAUACCAGUGGCGAAGGCGGCCUUCUGGACUGACACUGACGCUGAGGUGCGAAAGCGUGGGUAGCAAACAGGAUUAGAUACCCCAGUAGUC
rnacentral:rRNA from 1 species